rnacentral:rRNA from 1 species
GUGCCAGCAGCCGCGGUAAUACGAAGGGUGCAAGCGUUACUCGGAAUUACUGGGCGUAAAGCGUGCGUAGGUGGUUUGUUAAGUCUGUCGUGAAAUCCCCGGGCUCAACCUGGGAAUGGCGAUGGAUACUGGCAAGCUAGAGUGAGGUAGAGGAGAGUGGAAUUCCCGGUGUAGCAGUGAAAUGCGUAGAGAUCGGGAGGAACAUCAGUUGCGAAGGCGGCUCUCUGGACCAUCACUGACACUGAGGCACGAAAGCGUGGGGAGCAAACAGGAUUAGAUACCCCCGUAGUCC